CCAAUGUGUGUGCACGUGUGUGUGUCUGCUCAUAAAAUGGUACUGAAAAGUAUGAGAGCAUAGGAAUGUGGCUUAGCAGAUAAUAACUCUUGAUUUCAUUGUUUCAAGUCUUGUGUUUUUAUUAAAAGUCAAGGAAAGUCCAGUUCACUGAAGAGAACAGAAGAGAAUGAACCAUUCCUGGGCUUUCUAGCAGUGUGGGAGAAGAUCCGCGCUACAGCUUUCUUCUGCUGGAGAGGUGCUGCAGCAAGAGAUGGAGAGGACAGAAAACUCUGUCUUGAGGAUUUGGCACAUACUGCCAGGAUCCCACCACCUAGAUGGGACCUAGCUCUCUGAGAACUGGUCACUUGAGGCUCACUAAGAGUCAGCAAAGUGUUUUGUAAGGUCACCAUAUGUCCCACUGCCAGGACAAAAAAUCGUAUACAGCUGUAAGGAGUUGGUUCACACAGAAUUAGAUGUGCUGAAGCUGCCACCUGAUGUUUCCUGAUGUUGCCACACUCGAGGCCUCUGUGUGACAUCUGUCUCUGAACAUUUCUGGUCACUGUUCUUAAAAAUGGGAUCAUUUAUAGGAUAUAAGGGAUAGACAGUCCUUCCAGAUUGAAGAGAUUGGACUGUGCUGAACAGAUUAGGGUCUGUUAGGAUGAAGCAGCCCUGCACAUCCAUUGAAGAGGUGAGCACUCAAAAGGGGAUUGCAGUGCUGGAAAUUCUACCCUGGAAAACAUAACUAUGGCCAUGAAUAACAUUUUCUUAUCUCUUCCUAUUGACAGAAAACCAGCCCAAGUAAAGUAAAUUUAUAGCAUAUCAGAUCCCUGCCAAGGGAAAAGUGUUGCCUAAAAUCAGCUCAAGCCUGCUCUUUCCACUGGGAAAAGGAGUUCCUAGAGAACUGCAGAUUUGGUGGGUGCUUUCUGCUUUUCAGGACAAAUGACAGUUCCAAAGAAAAGGAAAAAGUCUUGGAUUGGAAGUUUGGGUUUUGGUAAAGAUUCUGAAGUUUUGGUGAGAGCUGGAGGAAGUUUUAUGUUCUGACACAGCAGGACAGAAGCACAAGGAGCAAACAAGGACU